UUGGUUAGAACUCAGCUUAAUCCGCCGCCGCAAUGGCAGUGGUUGAAGGCUCGUCACGCCGGCAACGAGCCUUCGAAGGCAGAGCAUUUUCUGCCGGGUUCCGCCAUUGGAACCAAUGGACAUAACAGUCAAC
rfam:Pseudomonas resinovorans NBRC 106553 DNA, complete geonome.